UACGUAGGGUGCAAGCGUUGUCCGGAAUUAUUGGGCGUAAAGAGCUCGUAGGCGGUUCGGUAAGACGGAUGUGAAAACUCGGGGCUCAACCCCGAGACGCCACCCGAUACUGCUGUGGCUAGAGUCCGGUAGGGGAGCGUGGAAUUCCUGGUGUAGCGGUGAAAUGCGCAGAUAUCAGGAGGAACACCAGCGGCGAAGGCGGCGCUCUGGGCCGGUACUGACGCUGAGGAGCGAAGGCGUGGGGAGCAAACAGG
rnacentral:rRNA from 1 species